AUACGCCCGCACACCCGCAAUCCAGCCACCGCCGCGAUCCGCCCGCCCGUGCAUGCCGCAACCGCGCGAUCCGCCCGCCCGCCGCAAAACCGCCGCGAUCUCGCGGCCCGCCCGUCCGCCAUCCAGCCACCCCGCUGCGACCGCUCCGUGCAUGCCUCCACUGUCGCGAUCCGCAAAACCGCUGCAAAACCGCCGCGAUGUGACCGGCGAGAUCCGCCCGCCCGCCGACCAGCCGUGACCGGCGAGAUCCGCCCGCCCGCCCACCGCAAACCCCGCGCGCGACCGCUCCGCAACCGCCGCUCCCGCCCACUCGUCGCGCAAUCCUCUCCUCCUACCCAUCUGCUCCGCAAUCCCCGCCAUUGUUGCAUCAGAUGCAGAAGGAGGCUAUGGCGCCGCAGCACGCUCCGCCCGACUUCUCGCAUGGAGGUUGCGGCGGCGAGAGGAAGCGGCAGUGCGAGGCGGACCCCGUGUCCCGGCAGCUCUUGUCGUUGCAGCAGCAGCAACCGCAGGCGACUUGGACGAGGCAGCAGCAGCAACCAAGCGCAGUGGCCCAAGUUCAUCAACCUGGCGCAACUGCACAAGCGGCCGACGACGGGCCUCCGGCUCGAAUUGGACGAGAGCUCGGAGCACGUGCCGUGCACGCCCCCUUCCUCGGCAGCCUUGCCCCUCGCCUGCUGCAGCUGCGCGUGGAGCGUCGCGCUGAGUAGGUCGGCUUCCAUGCGCCCCAGAUCUCGGUCCUCGCCCACCCUGCGCCCUGGAUCUCGGUCCUCGCCCACCCUCUCCAUGGAAGGGGAUCGAGGAAUCCUCGUCCGCUAUGGAAGGAGCGGCAUGCGGCGGAUUCAGGAAUCCAGGGGCUGGCCUUCUCCAUAUCCGUCACCACCACAGGUGGAUUCGCCCCCUCCACGGCGUGCAGCGGAUUCAGGCAUCUCCUCCCCUCCCUCCCACCCGAAGCCUUACCUCCGUCUGUUCCAUUAAAUAUGCAUGCAAAAUCUGAAUAUCUGAUUGUUUUGAUGUGAUAAAAUUCUGUUGCAGUUCUUCCUUGUUUUACAUAUAUUAUGAUAAUUAAUAACGAACUAUAUGGGGGCAAAGGUACUGCAUAUACUGCAUAUAUCAGUGAGUUGGUUUUGGACAAAGAAGCCAUGGAUGCCGCAAAUGACGAAGAAGAAAGAUGGGAAGGAGAAAAGUAUGAGUACCAUAAAGCUAUUGGUGCUGACAGAACUUUUUCAAAAUUCAAGAAACGAUUGGAUGCAUAUCCCCAGCAAUGCUUUAGAUAGUUAAACAUUUAAUUUGGAUAGUAUCAUGGCAACGUGACUUGGUGUUUGCAGAACAAUGUUUGGUUUCUUGUCCUUUUUGGUUUGCACAACUUGAAUUAAAUUUUGGCAUGCAAUAUUUCUUUAGGUAUUUUUAUGGUGGCAAGCUACUGUUGGCUACGACAAAAUUACAAGAUCCUGGCACCUGCAGGCUUUGUGGUUCACCACGCCAAUAUGAGCUGCAAUUGAUGUCUUCUUUAUCUACUUUCUCCAUGAAGCUGGAGACGACUCCUCAAAUUAUGUACCCAGCAGCUGGACUUGGCUGGCUGUCAUCAUGACACUUACUCCCAGGUGCAUGAAUUGUGAGCUCCAAUCAAGGAUGGGCAUGUUACGAGCAUCAAGGGAUAUGAUCCGAGUCGGGCGGCCGGACGGGGAUGACUGACACCAGACGCACCACUGAAGAAGAGAAAAGGUUGUGGGUUGAAGCGCGGAGAUGUGGACGACUCGUGGGCCAAUCGCAAGAUGAUGGCAGUGCAAAAACCAAGUUGCUGAAAUCGACCAGCCAACAUUGAUACCUCAUAUAGCUGAAGCGAAGUCACAGAAAUACUCAUAUGAAGUUCUUUUCAGAAGCUUGCAGAAACUUCUUAUUGAUACUGCCACUUCAGAAUACCUGUUUACUGAUGAUUUCUUUGGCGAAGAAUCCAUAUUCCAUGAUAUAUUUGCAGGUAAUU